GAUGAACGCUGGCGGCGUGCCUAAUACAUGCAAGUCGAGCGAACGGACGAGAAGCUUGCUUCUCUGAUGUUAGCGGCGGACGGGUGAGUAACACGUGGAUAACCUACCUAUAAGAUUGGGAUAACUUCGGGAAACCGGAGCUAAUACCGGAUAAUAUUUUGAACCGCAUGGUUCAAAAGUGAAAGACGGUCUUGCUGUCACUUAUAGAUGGAUCCGCGCUGCAUUAGCUAGUUGGUAAGGUAACGGCUUACCAAGGCAACGAUGCAUAGCCGACCUGAGAGGGUGAUCGGCCACACUGGAACGGAGACACGGUCCAGACUCCUACGGGAGGCAGCAGUAGGGAAUCUUCCGCAAUGGGCGAAAGCCUGACGGAGCAACGCCGCGUGUGUGAUGAAGGUCUUCGGAGCGUAAAACUCUGUUAUUAGGGAAGAACAUAUGUGGAAGUAACUGUGCACAUCUUGACGGUACCUAAUCAGAAAGCAACGGCUAACUACGUG
rnacentral:rRNA from 1 species